GGGCGGGUAGCUCAGUUGGUAGAGCGGCAGCCUUACAAGCUGCGGGUCGCAGGUUCGAUCCCUGUCCCGCCUACCA
rnacentral:tRNA from 1 species